GGUUCAUUUAUACGACCUGCUCCCUACCAACAUUCCUAGACCCAUUAAUAUUCCAUUCUUACUAACUAUGGUUCACACUCCCUUGAGUCGCAACCGUCACCAUCAACCGGUCAUUUGUCAAAUAGAUCUAUACUCCGUCUAUCUCUCUGUUCUUUGCUACUUAAUCUUUUAAUCUUCCUUUUUUCGUUUUCAAUUACCUUCAACCUUGACGUUGGCGAAAUCAUCGAAAUUAAACGAUGGGGUCCACUAGCAACUAAAAGAAGAA